rnacentral:piRNA from 1 species
UGAUAUCCUUCAUGCUGGCCCUG